rnacentral:rRNA from 1 species
UACGUAGGUGGCAAGCGUUGUUCGGAAUUAUUGGGCGUAAAGGGCGCGUAGGCGGCUUGUUAAGUCAGCUGUGAAAGCCCGGGGCUCAACCCCGGAAAUUCGGCUGAUACUGGCAGGCUAGAGUACGGAAGAGGUAGCUGGAAUUCCCGGCGUAGCGGUGAAAUGCGUAGAGAUGGGGAGGAACACCUGAGGCGAAGGCGGGCUACUGGGCCGAUACUGACGCUGAGGCGCGAAAGCGAGGGGAGCGAACGGG